rnacentral:rRNA from 1 species
GAUGAACGCUGGCGGUGUGCCUAAUACAUGCAAGUCGAGCGAACAGACGAGGAGCUUACUCCUCCGACGUUAGCGGCGGACGGGUGAGUAACACGUGGAUAACCUACCUAUAAGACUGGGAUAACUUCGGGAAACCGGAGCUAAUACCGGAUAACAUGUUGAACCGCAUGGUUCAACAGUGAAAGACGGUCUUGCUGUCACUUAUAGAUGGAUCCGCGUCGCAUUAGCUAGUUGGUAAGGUAACGGCUUACCAAGGCAACGAUGCGUAGCCGACCUGAGAGGGUGAUCGGCCACACUGGAACUGAGACACGGUCCAGACUCCUACGGGAGGCAGCAGUAGGGAAUCUUCCGCAAUGGGCGAAAGCCUGACGGAGCAACGCCGCGUGAGUGAAGAAGGUCUUCGGAUCGUAAAACUCUGUUAUUAGGGAAGAACAAAUGUGUAAGUAACUAUGCACGUAUUGACGGUACCUAAUCAGAAAGCCACGGCUAACUACGUG